UGGCGAGUUUUCGAGGAAAAUAAUCUUUUGGAGUUCUGUACCGAGUAGCGAGAAACUCGGAUAACGGAUUCCGAGCAAAAGCGGUCAAGCUAUAAAUACAAAACUGAUUGACUCCAAGUCCUCUCAAUCCGCCUCGCCCGCAGCGCCCCCCCCCCCACUUCCUUUCCCUCUCUCACGGCGGCGGCGAGAUGAAGGUAACGGUAAUGACCGGCGACGAGCAGAUCGUCACCCUCGACGUCGACCGCGACGAAUCCGUGGAAAAUCUCAAGGCGCUACUCGAAGUGGAGACUCGGGUGCCGCUGCGGCAGCAGCAGAUUCACUUCAAUGGGAAGGAGAUGCAGAACACGGAGAAGCUCAGCGCCGCUGGGGUCCAGGACGGCGACCUUGUCAUGAUGUUUUCCACCAGCGAAAGGCCAUCUCAGGAUGGCUUAAGGGUAAAUCCUGAUGGAACUGCUGUGAAUCCUCAAGCUUUUCAACAACAUGCUCGAGGUGAUUCACAACUUAUGGCACAGCUCCUUCAGAAUGAUCCUCAACUAGCACAAGCUAUCCUUGGGGAUGACACCACUGAGCUACAGAAUAUCCUGCGGUCCCGCCACCAACAAAGAACAGAACUAAAACGUAAACAAGAAGAAGAGCUUGCUUUAUUGUAUGCUGAUCCUUUUGAUGUGGAAGCCCAGAAGAAAAUUGAAGCUGCAAUCCGGCAGAAAGGCAUAGAUGAAAAUUGGGAGGCUGCAUUAGAGCACAAUCCUGAAGCAUUUGCCCGAGUGGUAAUGCUAUAUGUGGAUAUGGAGGUCAAUGGUGUACCUUUGAAGGCUUUUGUUGACAGCGGAGCGCAAUCGACUAUCAUAUCAAAAAGUUGCGCUGAACGUUGCGGGUUGCUGAGGCUUCUUGAUCAGCGGUUCCGAGGGAUUGCUGUUGGAGUCGGUCAAUCAGAGAUACUAGGAAGAAUACAUGUAGCCCCAAUAAAGAUUGGGAAUAUAUUCUAUCCUUGUUCUUUCACCGUAUUGGAUGCUCCUAAUAUGGAAUUCCUAUUCGGACUUGACAUGCUGCGAAAGCAUCAGUGCAUGAUUGACCUAAAGGACAAUGUUCUCAGAGUGGGAGGUGGCGAAGUUUCAGUGCCCUUCUUACAAGAGAAAGACAUCCCUGCACACAUACGCAAUGAAGAGAAACUGUCUAAGUUAGGGUCUCUCAGCCAAGCAACUGGAGAGUCAUCAAGGACACGUGAGGGUACUCCCAAUGCGCUACAACAAACCCCUCCAGUAACCGUGAACUAACUUCAAAUCCACUACCAUUCAUUUACUCGCAGGAGCUCCAGCUGCAAACCCUCCACAGCAGGGAGGAGAUUUUGAAGCGAAAGUCACGAAGCUUGUGGAGCUCGGUUUUGACAGGGCGUCGGUGACACAAGCGCUCAAGUUGUUCAACGGGAAUGAGGAGCAAGCUGCUGCGUUCUUGUUUGGUGGUUAGACUGGUGGGAGCAGCCGUUCCUGGCUUUGUGUUCGCUCAACCCUUUCCAGGGUUGAGUACUUGAAUAUUUGAUACGAAAGUGAUUAAAGUAUUUGGAUACUGUUUGUCCAGUGAAAGGACUUACUUUUAGAGGUUUUAUGUUUUCUCUUGUUUCUGAGAACAAACAUUUGUUUUCUGUACCUGAUACAUAGACUGAUAGACACCAGAAUGGAGACAGAACUGUGAAGAUUUUUUUUUAUUAAGAGUGUUUAUUUGAGCCA